rnacentral:rRNA from 1 species
AAUAGAUACCCAGGUAGUCCACGCCGUAAACGAUGGAUACUAGCUGUUGGAGGUAUCGACCCCUUCAGUAGCGAAGCUAACGCGUUAAGUAUCCCGCCUGUGGAGUACGGUCGCAAGACUAAAACAUAAAGGAAUUGACGGGGACCCGCACAAGCGGUGGAUCGUGUUCUUUAAUUCGAUGAUAAACGAAGAACCUUACCAGGGCUUGACAUCCCAAGAAGGCUUCCGAAAGGAAACUGUGCCGUAAGGAACUUGGUGACAGAUGAUGCAUGGCCGUCGUCAGCUCGUGUCGUGAGAUGUUUGGUUAAGUCCAUUAACGAGCGCAACCCUUGUGAAUAGUUGUAUUUUUCUAUUCAGACUGCCCCGGUAACGGGGAGGAAGGAGGGGAUGAGGUCAGGUCUGUAUUUCUCUUACGGUCCUGGGCUAGAAACACGAUACAAUGGCUAGUACAAUGCGCAGCGAAGCCGCGAGGUGGAGCAAAUCGCAUCAAAGCUAGUCCCAGUUCGGAUAAGAGGCUGAACUCGCUCUUGAAGUCGGAAUCGCU